ensembl:lncRNA
GGAGACCAUGCCCUGCUGCCAAACUGCCUCCACCAGAUUGCCGAAGCCCUGGUGCUGGAAGGCGACUACACGAAGGCGCUCCGCUUCCUCCAGCUCCAGAGACUCUACCACGAGAGAGUGUUGUCCAAUCUUGCCGCCCUGCAGGAGCAAUGGGAGAACAGAUGGAGGUUGGUAGGUCAGCAUCAGGACUCCAGCAGUGUAUCUACUCCUCCUCCUCCCUGUGACAUGGACACAGAGCACCUGCAGAAGCUGAGGCACAUCUGCAGGACUCACAGGCAGUGAGUACACACACACCGACACACACAUACACACAGCUUUGCUCAGUGCUGCAGCUUUAGCACUCAUGGAG